rnacentral:rRNA from 1 species
UCUGGCCCCAGCAGCCGCGGUAAUUCCAGCUCUCAAAGUGUAUAUCGUCAUUGCUGCGGUUAAAAAGCUCGUAGUUGGAUCUGCGCCUCAGGACUCGGUCCGCCCAUUGGGUGAGAACUGGGCUCCUGGGCUAGUUUUGCUGGUUUUCCCUACGUUGCCUUCAUCGGUAGCAUAGGGUGGCUAGCGAGUUUACUUUGAAAAAAUUAGAGUGCUUCACGCGGGCUUAUGUCUGAAUACUCGUGCAUGGAAUAAUAGAAUAGGAUCUCGGCUCUAUUUUGUUGGUUUUCUGAUCUGAGAUAAUGGUUAAGAGGGACAGACGGGGGCAUUCGUAUCGCUGCGUGAGAGGUGAAAUUCUUGGACCGUAGCGAGACGCCCGACUGCGAAAGCAUUUGCCAAGAAUGUCUUCAUUAAUCAAGAACGAAAGUCAGAGGUUCGAAGGCGAUCAGAUACCGCCCUAGUUCUGACCGUAAACGAUACCAACUAGCGUUCCGUCGGCGGUAAAUACGCCUUGACGGGCAGCUCCCCGGAAACGAAAGUGUUUCGGUUCCGGGGGAAGUAUGGUUGCAAAGCUGAAACUUAAAGAAAUUGACGGAAGGGCACCACCAGGAGUGGAGCCUGCGGCUUAAUU